UACUUCUGCCCUCCUGGCUGUUUGUGGCAGCCAGAGAGCACCUGAUUCUUGUAUCCCAGACCUUAAACCACAGCCUGGCAGCCUCCAAGGGAUCCUCCCUGCUUGGGGUGCUGUUUGUGGGACUGCUGGUGGCUCUGGAUCCCAAGGAGCGUUCCCAUCCCAUCACCACCGGCUGCCAGCAUCGGGAUCACGGCCACCCAGGGAGUUGGACAUCACGGAGCUGGACACACGCCAGGGAGCCGACUCGCUUCUGACACCGAGCUCAGUCUCCAAACAUAAAAGAAGAGAAAGUCAGGACAGAAAAGCAUUGGAGCUUUCUUCUUCCUCCACACCUGCUGUUCCUGGUCGUCAGGCACUUCCAAAGAGGAGAGUUCUCCAAGUUCCCAGUCAUUACCCUUUACAUAAGCAUAAUAUAGUGCUGCACUUCCUACAGGGAAGCUAUCUAUUGUAGCAAUCUGUAAAACAAAAGCUGGAUUGCUCCUUCUCCCAUUGCUCCCAGAAUCAAAAAGCUGCCUGCUGUUCCUCAAAUGGGAAGGCUGAAAGCCUUCAUCAGAGGGUAGUUCAUUUUUACACGACAUUUUUACACUCAAGCAAAACUGAAAGCAAGGCAUAAUUUGAAACAGCCAUGCUCGCCGUUAGAGCAGAACCACACAAAUAAAAUGCCUGGGAUGAUGGAGUUGAAUAUGUUGCAGUCAGAAAAAUGACAGCUUGCAGGGAACGAGGAAAACUAGAUGGAUGAAUGGGAAUUAGUGAGGAGCAGACUUCCAAGGCAGACAAAUCAAAUUGAGAGCGUGGAUCAUUAGAUUCAAAGGAAGCAGGUAAGGAGUGCACUAAAUUGUACCUUAAACAACAAACCGAGGGCCCCAGCCUCCAGGGAGAGGGGAUGGAACAGGGCUGGGGAUAUGGGAGUGGCUCCCAGGUGUGUCCUGGCCACUGGCAUUGUGACCUCACCCAGGUCACUGUGUCCUUCACAUCAGCUCCUGUGCUGUGGGGCAUGGCAGGCACUGGACAUAGAGGAUGCUUUGAAGAUCUGCAGAUGUGCCCAGCUCCAGAGGAGACAGCUGAAGCCUUUCUGGAUGGCCUGUCCUGGCACCUGUCACCUUUCAGGGCUGUCACUGAUAUCCAUUGUAUGGAGCUGGCUCUUUGCCUGUUUUUUUUUUUUUUUUCCCAGAAAAAAAAAGGUGAAGAGAUAUACAAAGGGAGAAAUUACUGUGUUGUUGAAUUUUUCAAAAUUAACUGUGCACAAUUAUACCCAAGGAAGUGGGCUGGAAGAAAGACACUUCACAUACAGCAGCUCUUUGCAGAUGUGAGAAAAUGUGGCAUGGUUUGGACCUGCCAGGAAACAGCUGAGCUGGGGGAAUUUGUGUAUUUUAAAAAUAAAGCUCAUGCUUUUCUUGGACAAACUUUCAGGUCACUGUAACACAGAACCGAAGGUCACAAUUUCUAAGAAGAUUAUGAAAUGCCCCAGAUGCUCAGUGUGACAGUCUAGACAAGGCAGCCAAGGGAGAAAUGCUGAAGGAAGUUCCUGGGAUUGGUACAGGAAAGGAGAGCCCGCAGGAUGGAAAACUCCACACAGAGCUUCCCUUGGUGCUCCUGCCUGGACACUCUGCAGAGACUGGUCCCAGCUGAGUCCUGCUCAAGGAUAAAACUCAUGGUCACAGGGGAACUACUCCCAUUGGAAUCCCAUCUGGCUGAUUCCUCCAUUUCAGCUGAGGUGGAAGUGUCACUGGAUCUCACAGAGACGUGUGAAUGGAAUGAUAAGGAAAGCUCUCCAGCAGGAGCUGAAAAGCACCACCCUUGCUGGGAGUAUAAGCCAACAGAUGCUUUACAAAAGCAAAAGUGAUCUGAUCAUUCCCACAAGAACCAUAGAAUCAUAAAACUGUGGAAUGGUUUGGGUUGGAAGGAACCUUAAAGCCCAUCCAGUCCCACCCCUGCCAUGGGCAGGAACACCUUCCACUGUCCCAGGCUGCUCCAAAUCCUGUCCCAGCUGGCCUUGGGCACUUUCAGAGAUGGGGCAGCCACAGCUUCUCUGGGCACCCUGUGCCAGGGCCAUUUUAUAAACCUGAUAUUAGUGCUGUGUAAUUGAGGGAAAGGCAUCCUCUGCUGUUCCAGGUUAUCCAUUGUUAUCCCAGGUUUAGCUGCUUGAAGCUCUUACUGAGCUGCCCUGAUCUGAACAUGGCAGUUGUGAGGAUUCUUCUCCCCUUCGUGUCCUAAUGUCUAUUUUAUCAAAGGCUUUAUUGUUGAAGAUGUUCAGCAUGUCCAGAGCUUUCCCAUCCCCUUGGCAGCCUCCCACAUUUCGCCCUGCCAUCAAUCCCAUCCUAAUUCGCUUGCCAUGCAAGGUGCUCCCCUGCUGGUUUAGUUGGCCAGCCUGGGAUGUGGUUCCUUCCAGCAGCUCUUAAGAAAACCCUUGCACAUCUUUUCCUUCAUUUUAUCCUCUUUUUCCUUUUAGCUCUGGUUGUUUGCAGCAGGCUCUGGCAGCUGUAAAUGUUAGUUAAAGCCUUAUUGAUGCCCGGUGCUUUCCAGCCGCCUGGUGCAGCAGUUUAUUUGGGUCUCUGGUGAUGUUUAGAGAUGCAUUUCCUCUCAUCUCUCCCAGCUAUAUUUUACUGUUUGCUCAUUUGCUUGAUGACAGUUUGCUGCUGGGUUUUGGAAGAGCUUUGCAGUGCAUUAUCUUGUGAGUUAAUCCUGACCUGUUUCCUUGGCUCCUGCAGCUGCCCUGGCACGUCCUGAGCCGGACGCUGCCGCUGUCAGGAAUUUUCUGCCAGGUCUUUGCUGUCAAUAUUUUUGGCCAUUGCUCUGUGUCAGUCAUGUCUGGAUUAAGCUCCCCUGUGAUAUCCUGAGGGCGAGAUGAGCUGUGUCACUGCACAGGGGAUCAGCCUUGGUGCUGUUGGGGAGGUUCCUGAGGGUUGGAGAAGCUCCAACCCACGGGGUCUGUCUGGGAUGGUUCUUGCUACGAAUCUACGUUCUAUGAUUCUUGAGCUGUCCUAGGAGACUGCUUCACCUUUUUCAGGAUGAUUUAAGAGGAUGUGCUGUUCAGGAUUCCCACUCGAGUGUUAUUUAUUAGUUUUGUAGUGUCUUCCAGGCUGCUUUCUUCAGGCUAGUGUUGAUUCCUUGGGGACAAAGGAAACAAAGGCAGGAGAACGCUCGCAGGAGGGAUAAAACAGGAGUCUGACUGAUAUCUUCUCUCUCUUUCUCCAUGGUGUUUUUUCACAGAUCAAAAAUCAAUUAAGGGCGAAUUUCACUGGGAACUCUUUAAACAAUGUGAUAUUUCAUUAGAGAUUAUUGCAGGCUCUUUAACAUUUGCAGUCCAGGUGUGAAUUACAAAAUUAGCCAGAUUCCUUUAAUGAUUUCCUCCUAGGUAACAUUCCUCCAAGCACCCUGUGUCUGGAGCAAGCUGUGCAGCUGCUGCUGGAGAAGGGGUGUUUAUUGCCUCCCCCCACGUCCUGAUGGAGACACAGGACUGGAGGAAUGGUUUUGAUUGAGACAGCAGCCUGGCUGGGCACAGGGCUGUGGCCUGGAAGAUGAAAAAUGAAGGAAAUAAGAGUGGAAUGCUGUAAGAGAGGUAGAGAGGAGCUUGGAGAUGAGCAGAUUUGGAGUUUUUUUUCUGCAAUCCCUUCUUGAGCUGUUACCAGCACAAGCUUGUGCCUUUUUGAGACUUCCCUAUGGCUUUCCAGGUCCUUCCCUUGCUCCUGGAUCUGUCCCUGCUGCCAUCUGAACCCCACAGCACAGAGACAGAAGCACUCUGGAGGUGCCAGUGAGCUUUCACUGCCAUCUGGAUUUCUUGGGACACAGCACUCCUUCAAACCCUUCCCCUCCUGAAGGCACAAAGAGCUGAGCAGUCUGAGUCCUCUGCUCCAGUGCAACUCCCUCUCCAUCAUUAAUCCUGCCUGGAACUUGCCCUUUUCAGUGCCCAUUCCCUCCCUCGUCCAUCUUGCCUUAUUCACAGCCCAGUUAUUGAUCCUUAUUUGGGGCUCAUCUGUCUUAGUGAGCUCGGGGAGCCACCCCUGGCAGGGAGAGGAGCACCUUUCAUUGCUUUCAGGGUGCUGUGGUUGGGUGGGAGGGAAAUGGGUGAGAUUUGGGAUGCACCACUGCAGGUUUGAUCCCGCGGUUGCAUUUCCUGAGUGCUGACUGCUCUCCCCACCUGAGCACCUGCUCUUCUUGGAGAUGCUGCUUUUCCCUGCAAAAUUUUCCUUUCCUCUUCUCCUAAAACCAUCUGAGCUGCUGCAACAGCCCCACUACAGCAGCUCAGCCUCUCCUCCCUCUCCCUUGAAGUCAGCAGGACCAGGAUUGGUCCUCAGGGCUCCUGUAGAACCACGUACAUCUGUGUUUGUCCCACUCUGCCUCCCUUUUCCCAUUUCUUGUCCCCUCACCACAGUUCUGCCUGCAUUCUUCUCUCUCUGCACAGCUCUGCCCUGCCCCAGGAGAUGAUGGAAGGUUCCUUUGCUCACUGCAGUGAGGAAAGGCAGCUGAUAAAACCCCACCACCCUCUGCACUGACCAUAAUUGCUUUCCUGGAGAACAGGGGGGAGAGGCAAACAGUUCUGAUACUUUCCUUGAAUACUCUCUUGGGCCCUAAUUAUUUUCAGCUUAGGAUAUUUUCUGUGUCAGGGAAGACUCAUCUGUCUAAUAAUCCUUGCUGGAUUUCGUUUCCAAGUAUUUACCCAGCCCUGCCUUGAGCCACAUAAACUUUCCAACUCCCUUUCCUCAUAGCCAUCUUCCCUGAUUUGCUGUGGAUCCCCUGGAUUGCUUCCCUCUCCUUGUUCUGGGGCUGGACCAGGUGGUUAAGGAGCAAUUGUGCACCUGAAGGGAGGUUGUGGCAAGGUGAGGUCAGGCUCUGCUCCCAGGCAGUGACAGGAAAAGAGGAAAUGGCCUUGAGCUGUGCCAGGUUGGACACCAGGAGGAAUUUCUUCAUGGAAAAGGUUGUUAAACAUUGGGAGAGGCUGCCCAGGGAGGUUUGGAGUCCCCAUCCCUGGAGGUGUCCAAGGAACCCCUGGAUGUGGCACUCAGAGCUCUGGGCUGGUGACAAGGUGGUGAUCCAUCACAGCUUGGCCUCAAUGGUCUUGGAGGACUUUUCCAACCUCAAUGAUCCUAGGAUUCUGUGAUCCUCCCACACUCCUCCAGUGACUCAAGAUUUUUGAAUCCCCUUCUCCUGCCUCUUUUCUAGGCUGCAGCAUCCCAACCCAUUGGGUUGCUCUUCAUGGAAAAGCGUUUCCAGACCUUGUAUAAUUCCUGCUGUCCUUCCAGGAACCUUUCCUUCUGAAUUCCUCCUGCUUUGCACUGCUGGAGCCAUGCAGGGACACAUCCACAUAGCUCACCUGCAGAGUUUUGGGGUACUUUGUGUUGCUUGAAGGAGCUGCAUGUUUUGGAGGAGCUGGCCCUUACUUGUGAAGGUUUCUAUUACAUGAACCUUUUCAGCAAAGUGCCCUUUUUUAUGAAUCCUGAAAGAGAACUCUCUGCAGCUUCCAAUUACAAUCCUGGCUGCAUCUUACUUGAAUGGUGUUUACUAUUUAGGGUGCAUUUGAAAAAGCAUUUUGGGAGGCAUCUUUCAAUUCAUUUGUAGUGGCUAACAUUAUCCCUAAUGCUGGAGGAAAUUAAAAAAUGCUUCUUGCUUAGAGGCAAUGAGUUGAAAUGAAAAUGUGCUGUGUGCUGGUCCAUGGCAACAUCACUGAAAUGUCUGGAUGUGGUGCCAGGUGCUGCUCUGAGAGUUCAGCUGUGCCCAGAAUGACCUGGAGUAUCUUUGGUGGCCUUUGAUGGCAGAGCUGGGUGACCAAGCUGGGUCUGCUCUGGGGAAUCUGCUGAAGCUGCUCAGUGCAUCCAGUGUUUACACAGAUAAUUUAGUUCAGAUGGGCUGGUGGGGUCAUGUGGGCACAGCUGUGUGCCCUGAGUGCAAGAGAGACACUGAGGGGCUGGAGCAUGGCCAGGGAAGAGAACAGAGCUGGGGAAGGGAAUGGAGCACCAGGAGAGGCUGAGGGAGCUGGGAAGGGGCUCAGCCUGGAGCAAAGGAGGCUCAGGGGGGAUUUUGUGGCUCUGCACAACUCCUGACAGGAGGGGACAGCUGGGGGUGGUCGGGCUCUGCUCCCAGGGAACGGGACAGGAGGAGAGGAAAUGAGCUCAGGCUGUGCCAGGGGAGGUUCAGGUUGGACAUCAUAAGGAAUUUUUCCAUGGAAAGGGUGGGCAGGCCUUGGCAGGGGCUGCCCAGGAAGGUUUGGAGUCCCCAUCCCUGGAGGUGUCCAAGGAAUGUCUGGAUGUUGCACUCAGUACUCAAGGCUGGGUGACAAAGUGGGGAUUGGACACAGGUUGGACUCAAUGGUCUUGGAGGGCUUUUCCAACCUUUAUAAUUCCAUGAUGUGCCAUUUAUUCUCUUCACUGCUUGGAAGUCCAACAAAGUGCAAGGGGUAAAAGCUCAGGAGGGUUUGGUUUGGGGAGCUGUGGUUUCAUGAAAUCUCUGGUUAACCCUGUCAGGAGCACUGGCUUCAGAUCAGCUGCUGGAAUGCCGUUCCACCUCUGCUGAAUUACCCAGAUCUCAUGGAACAGUUUACAUUGGCUGAGGAAGAGGAGUCAGCCCAACACAAAACCUGUCCUGAUGUGGUCUGAGCAGGUUUGGGCCAGCAGUGAGAGCCUGAACUGGGCCAGUGUGUUAUGUCCCCUAUGAGGGGCAAUGGGACAGGACUGACAAUUCCAUCCAUGAUGCCUGAGAGUGUUUCUGUGCCUGUGUUCGUAUUUUCACCUUCCUGAAGGGAACGUGCACAAGUAGAUAAAAACCUGCUCUAGUGGAUUCCAGCAUUAAGUCAAGAGACUAUUGGAUUUUUUCAAGGGCUCACACAACUCUCCUAAAAAGCAGGUUGUUAUGUGUUAGUUUGGAGCCCUUUUGUUCAGCCUCAGGUGUUUUCAUUCCUUCAAGGUAUUUACUGAAAGGACAAGAAGAAAAUGACUCAAGGUGGCAUCAUGCAAAAAAUUCUGUGUUCAGCACAAGAGUGCUACAUUUUGGCUUUUCCUCCAGCAGAAGUGGGAUACCUUGCCCCUCUUUUGAGUCAAGUGUCAGAUUAGAAGAGUAGAAAGAGGAAGAAUAACCCCACUAAAUCAAAAUCACUCU